GAUGAACGCUAGCGGCAGGCCUAACACAUGCAAGUCGAGGGGCAGCACAGAAACAGCAAUGUUUUGGUGGCGACCGGCGGACGGGUGCGUAACGCGUAUGCAACCUACCUUUAACAGGGGGAUAACGGAGAGAAAUUUCCACUAAUACCCCAUAACAUCGAUCAAGGCAUCUUGAUUGGUUGAAAACUCCGGUGGUUAAAGAUGGGCAUGCGUUGUAUUAGGUAGUUGGUGAGGUAAUGGCUCACCAAGCCUAAGAUACAUAGGGGGACUGAGAGGUUAGCCCCCCACACUGGUACUGAGACACGGACCAGACACCUACGGGAGGCAGCAGUGAGGAAGAUUGGUCAAUGGGGCAACCCUGAACCAGCCAUGCCGCGUGCAGGAAGACGGCUCUAUGAGUUGUAAACUGCUUUUACAAGGGGAUGAAUCGGUGUACGUGUACACCGUUGAAGGUACCUUGGAAUAAGGAUCGGCUAACUCCGUGCCAGCCGCCGCGGUAA
rnacentral:rRNA from 1 species